rnacentral:rRNA from 1 species
CGGCUAAUACCUGGUUGGGAUGACGGUACCCAAAGAAUAAGCACCGGCUAACUUCGUGCCAGCAGCCGCGGUAAUACGAAGGGUGCAAGCGUUACUCGGAAUUACUGGGCGUAAAGCGUGCGUAGGUGGUUGUUUAAGUCUGUUGUGAAAGCCCUGGGCUCAACCUGGGAACUGCAGUGGAAACUGGACAACUAGAGUGUGGUAGAGGGUAGCGGAAUUCCCGGUGUAGCAGUGAAAUGCGUAGAGAUCGGGAGGAACAUCCAUGGCGAAGGCAGCUACCUGGACCAACACUGACACUGAGGCACGAAAGCGUGGGGAGCAAACAGGAUUAGAUACCCUGGUAGUCCACGCCCUAAACGAUGCGAACUGGAUGUUGGGUGCAAUUUGGCACGCAGUAUCGAAGCUAACGCGUUAAGUUCGCCGCCUGGGGAGUAC